CCUUUCUUAUGAAACAUAAAUACUCUUUCCUUUUAUUUAUAUUUAAAUGUAACUCAUGUAUAAAUGUUUAUACAAGUUCUGAAGAAUAUCCUUAAUUGGUCAGGUUUCUCUCUUGUAUCUUUGUUGCUCUUUGAGAAGUCUUCUUGGUAUGCACUUGCAAAGUGCUUAUAAAUUGUAAAUUUCAUAACUGUAGCCACCGUUUUAAGUUUCCUUUGGUGUUUUGCAUGUUUUUAACAAUUUAUUCUUAGAACUGUAAGAAGUGUUUUUUUACAUUCAGUAUAGUAAUAAGUCACACAAAAUAACAACAGUUGUAAGUGUAACAUUUUAAUAGCAUAGCUCCAUGUCACUUCUUAUGUUUUAAAAAAUGCAUUAUUCAAUGUAGCAUCUGCAUUCACAUAGAUGAUAAUGGUACAUUUUACAUAUAUUUCAUAUUAUUUUCACAAAGUAAAGUGUCUAUUUCAUAUAUCGAAUUAUAAAUUGUCUGUAAAAUUUGAGUCUCCACGUGCACAAAAUAUUUACACCUGCAAAUUGCACAUGAGCCAACAAGAUCAGUAGCCUAGCAAUUUGUGCAGCAUAAGACAGCAAAGGCAUGACAUUACAGCAAAUAGUCUGGAAUUUAAUUUGAAUUGUAAUUGGUUGUGGUGAUACAAAACUGUUCAAAUGAAACUUACACCGAUACAGCUUUUAUGUAGGAUACUUAAAAGGGGUGAAAUGGAAAAUGAGUAAUUACUCAACUACAAAAAGAGCAAAAUGGAGCUAUUCAGAAUAGAAGGAAGAAUGUUCCUUAGAGAUUUUUUAAAGUGGAAAUUAUUGAAGUAGUGUGUUGUUGAAAUCGUGACAUUAUAUGAAAUAAACACUGAAAUAAUUUUAUGUUAAAUUUGUUGAGGUAAACACAGAGGGUGUUUAAAAAAAGUUUUGCACAGUCUCUAAUUUUUAUUUUUUACAGGAGGAGAAUGAAAUUUUUUGUGAACAUAUAUGGAACAUUGAGCUAUACAUUAAGCCUACUCAAUAUAGCCUCCUGCAGGUGUGACUCACGUGGCCCAACCUUCUUUCAAUGAUGUAAAUGCACUUAGGUAAAAUUCUGGGGAUUGACUUUUAUAACAUUGCUUGACACAGGAAAUAAGGUUUUUCUCAAUAUCAAAUGUUUUACCAUCCAGGUGGCCAGAGGGGUAAAACUCUGGCGAAGCCAAGUCCAGACUGUAGGGAGGAUGAGGAACAAUUGUCCAACCAAUUUUCGUGAUUUUCUCCUACGUCAUAAGGGCUGCAUUGGGUUUGGCAUUGUCAUGGUGUAGUCUGAUGAGCUGACCCUGGAGGUGUGGUCUGUGGGUCUUGAAGGCACGUCGCAGCUUGUCCAAUGACAAACCGUAAUGGCUCUAGUUAAUUGUGGAGCCAGGUUCCAAAAAGUCAUUGAAAAUUACACCACAUUGAUCCCUGAAGGAGACUCUCACCUUCCGUGGAAGUCUUGGUUUCUUCUUCCGAGGGGAAUGCGGAUGAUGCUCCAUGUAUUGGAUUUUGCCCUCGGGUUCAGACGAAAACAACCAUGUUUCAUCCUGGGGAAUGACACCAUCAAAACAGUUUCCACUCUUCAGUAACAGUCUUCACGAGACUGUUGCACACAUUCCUCCUCAUCGUUUUCAUUUGUCAUGUCUGUAAUCUAGGCAUCCAAUGUGCACAGAAUUUUCUGUACCCUGGUGACUGUACCAGUGAUACUACACUACUCAAUAACAUGUCAUUUCAGCAAGCUGUAGUCUUGUCAAACAUCUGUCAAUUUGGAUGAUGUGAUCAAUGUCUCCUUAUUCACAUCAGUCACUGCCCUCCAUGGUCUACCGCAUCGUGGAUUGUUCAGUAGAAAGGAAUCACCUUUAAAUCUCUGCAACCACCGCUGGAUACUGCUGCGUCUACUGUGUCCUCUCCAUAAACAGGGAGCAACUUCCUGUGACUCGAACUGGCAGUUGUUGCCAGUCUUGAAGAAGAACUCAAUGUGGACCAUUGUCACAACCUGACAUCUACUUCACAGUCCAUUAUGGUUCACCUGUAAAUAAAAAUUACUUUUAUAUACCAACUUGUAGUUACAUGUUCAAAGUAUGUUCACAAAAAAUUUCAUUGUCCUGCAAAAAUAAAAGAAAUUAGAAGACCGUGCAAGACUUUCUGAACACCUUUUGCAGCUCUGCCUAGAAUACAUCAAGUGGAUUACUUCCUCAUUUUGAAUACCGAAAUGUAAUGCCUAAAAAGAACGAUGUAUCAAAAUAUACCUGAAAUUAUGCGCAAGAAGUUGUGGCAUAGUGAAUUCAGAAGUUGCACAAAAUAUUGAAUAGCACUUGCAAGAAGUAUAAUUAAAGAUGUGCCAGCGGUAUAAAAAGGUGUCUAAGUAGACUUUCAUACUUCUGGUAUGAAAAGACUUAAGUUUUGAUAAUGUAUCACAACAUUUCAUGUAAAGGGGCAGUGUGUUAAAAUCCUUAGCCACUGUCUUAAGUUUGUUUUUCACAGUGUUCCUAAAUCAGUUCAGUGUAACAAUAAGAUGAUUUCCUUAAAAAGGUUGUGCAACUUAAUGUUGAAGGAAUAAUCUUCUCAUAACUUGUGCGAGGUAGCUGGUUAGGGAGCAGACUAUUCUGGUAACUGUUCAUUUGAGAGCAGUCACAAAUGGUAGUAUAUUGUGAUUUCACUGCCAUUAGUAUGUCUGCACCUUUGAGUAAACAUUUGAUAAUGGCUAUAUAUACACAAAUACUAUUUGUGGGAGUAACAAGUGCUGUAACUAAAUAUUACUGCUUCAGUGAACCAUGUCACUCUCAUUUUGAAACAAAGCACAACACAGAAUUUGUCUUUAAAGUAAAUAGGAAGACUGAAAAAAUCCAAAUGUGGAUGGUCAGGCAGUUGGAGGCUUCCUAAAUAACAUGAAAUGAUGAUUUCCUUUAAGAAUCUGGAUUUGUGGUGCUAUGAGAUUUUGAAAGGAUACUGUACAAUUUUCUGAACUGACAUUGUAUUAAUAAUCUACAGCCAAUACUAUUACUAAUAUAAAUAUUGCUGUGGAAAGAAAGAAAACUAGGUAACAAAUUCUGAGCCCUGUAAAAUUCUUUGCAGGAAGAGACGAGCUCUCACUGCCUUUAACAUUAUACACAUUUAUACUUUGUCUUUAAAACAGCUUAUUUUCUGGUCUGGAAAUCCUGUAAGUGCACCAGUUUGUUCAUUCUCCACUUGUGUGUGAAUCAGAUGCUACAGUGAUGAAAAGUAACAAUUUGUUUUAUAAAAGCAAAAUGACUAAUCUUAAUUUUCAGUCAUUGAAAAAUUGUUCAGUUUAAUGCCAACAGUUCCCACACAAGUGUAAAAACUGUUCAAAAAGUAAUUAUGGCUGAUAAUGUAAUUUGUCACAUACAUAAUAUAGAGUAAUUACGAACAUCAUCAUAAUAUUACUAGGAAAUAGGUGCUGUCUUGACGACUAAAUACUCUUCAAACAAGUAUUUGAGAAGUCUUCAGAAAAACUUGUUCUUAAAAUUGAAUGCAUGGCAGAAUAUGAUGCUGUUAAAAGCUGGUGUCUUAACAAAUUCACUGUAAAGUAAUAGUUCGUUAAUAACAACAAAUUUUGUAAAUAGUCAUAUAAGCUUCAUUUGUUUUUCUGGAGUUUUAAAAUGUGGAGGCUUCCCUGGUGUAAUGUCUCAGAUUUUUGGUUGUUGAAUACUUAAUUUUAGCUUCAUAUGCAGACAAAAUUUCUGUGCUUUCAGAAUCCCACUUGUCAUUUGUUUAUAAAUUUUCCACUCCAUUGUAAUCCUGUAGUGCGACAGUAGCAGUUCUGUAACACAAGCAGCAGUGGUAUAUCUACAUUGUAUAGGCAAGUUGAGCUGAUCCACAUUGCCCACUCUUUGUAAUAGUGCACUGCCACUGAUAAGAUGACAUUGCUUUCAGAUGCUCUUUCAACCAUUCUGGAUGCUCUUUCAACCAUUCUGCUCAUACUUGUUGGUUUGCCUUUGAAUUUGAAAAUAUAUUCUCAACACAGACUUAAUCACACAAGGUGCAUGGAUUAAUCAUCUAUUGGAUGUUCUGUUUAUGGGUGGUUGGAAUUGUGGUCAUCAGUUGGAGUUUGAAAGGCUACAAAGACGGCUGCUCGGCAAAUAAGCUGAACCUUACUUUCUUGGGGUGUAAGUGGGAGUUACUCCCAUGUUUGAGGAUACCCUCUGAGAAGCAGUAGCAUGGAAGUUCUCCAAGGAAAUUUUAAAACAGCUGAUCAUUGACAACUGGGGAAAAUAUUUCACUAAGUGCUGCUUAGCCUGUAAGGUUAUCAACCUGUUUCAUAGUGCACCAGUCUGCCUAUAAAUUCAAGGAGAUGGGUUUUGCAUGUUGUGGAAGAUUCACUGACUUGAUCGUUUGGAUUAUAUAUUCUGAUCAGGAAUGCACAUAAAGCCACCGGUCCAAAAUGAGGCAAUAAAAUAUGCGAUGCAGUUCGCCAUAUGAUGACACCAGGGAGCACAUAUAAACAUAGUGGAUUGAUAAUAUAUACCGUAUAAAUUAGAAUUGAUUACACCAGAUUCUGGAAGUGAGGAAUGAAAUAUGGACAAAUGAAACAAUCGCUCAGGCUAAACUCAGCUGGAAAAGUUAUCUGCAGUUUCUGAAAUUGGGCUAGAAGUCGUGCUUAAAUAAUUUCGACAGUCCCAGUGACUUCAAUCAUAUGGUAGCUCAUGUUGGAAUGUGAAGUUUUGGGGCCAAAGGUGCCAGUCUCGGAGUAUGUGUUUCUUCUAUAAGGCAAUAAAUAAGUAAAAUUUACACACUGGUAAUGAAUUGUAUAAUGUGGACAUAAUUUUAUAACAGUACAAGUGGAAGAUUAUUUAAAAUCGUAGUGUAAAGACAUUAAAAGAGUCAAAAUGGAAUAA